rnacentral:lncRNA from 1 species
GGGUUUUCCCUGGGCUUCACUGCUGCUCUGUUGAGGAGGGCUGAGCAGUGGACUCUGGACACUGUUGUCAGCUUGGGACAGCACCAAGGCCCAGGGACUGUGAGGCAGGGUUACGACUCUCGCUGAGCUGUGGAAGCAUUUCGGGAGCUUGCUCUCAUUCCUGCUGGAAAUCCAGGGUGCUGGGCCCAUCUUGUCCAGCACCAAUUUUCUGGGCAGCCUUGCCCAACUACCCACCUCCCUGCAUCUCAGUGUUUCCAGCUGCAGAAUGCGGAUACCAAGCCCCACUUCAGGCACUGCUUAGGAGUGAAUCAGGCAUUCCAAGAAUCCUCGGCCUCAAAGUUCUGAGGCUGCGUGAUGUCAUGGGAAGAGCAUGCGGCUGCCCUGGGGAGCUGUCAGCCCCACGUGAACCUGGAGGAACAGUUCCAGGGGAAGGCCCUCGCCCUUCCGCUUGGUCCAGCCAAGCCCCGUAGGCUCCUAGGUCCAGCCUGUGGACCCUCACUGCAGCCUGCUGGUGAGUCUGGGGAUCCCACAAGCUAUACAAGAGUCUGAAGUGGGGACUCUGGAGCCAGAACCCUAGAGUUCAAAACCUGACACUGCACUUCUAGCUCUGCAACUUUCAAUAAAUUCCUUAACCUCUCUG